GAAACACAAUCUUUUCAUAAUUCUCUACUUGGCAUGGCCCAAAAGAUAUAACAGUUACAUAAUUAGCCAAACUGAGACCUAUUCAAUCCCUUUCACCAAACAAUCCAUUCUUUCACUCAUAACUAUCCCUAGUGACUCAUAUAGCUACCGCCACUGCGCCACCGUCAAUACUGGUUACGCCGCCGUAAACAUCAUCACCGUGAAUAUAGUGAUUACAAACCCUAGCCCCCAAUUUAUGCAUUAACUCAUUUUCUCUCUCUAACACUUCUGCUUCUUUUCUAUUUACUGCACAAUUACCAUAUACUUUUCUCUCUCUCUCUCUUUCACACACACAUUUCCCAUUUUCCAUUGCUCUGUAAUAUCAUCUGAAGGAUUCGUGUGCAAGUGUUUCGUUUUGUGAUCG
rnacentral:lncRNA from 1 species